GAAGUCACGGUCAGAGUCUACUGUCCUCAUGCGAUGGAAAGUGAGCGAGAGUGACGAGACCACGAGCAUUGUCAAAAUCAAGCAUUAGGCAUGCAUCUGGGAGCGGAGCAGCUACUGCUGUCAGUGAGAUAAGUGUCUGUUCUGGUGAGAGCUCUGCUCACGGCCCACCUGGCUCCAGAGGGCAGCGGAGCAUCUGCAGGAAGCGGAUCUGCACAAUCUAGCUGUUUCGCUUUGCAGUGCAGCCGAGGAGCGCUCUUGUAAUGUUGGAGGAGCAGUCGUACUGAGAUUGGUCAGAUGAGAGAUCGGCCAACCUGUGGCAGAGACCAAGGAAGGAACAGCCACCCGGAGCCCAUCCCUAGGGAUGGAAGCCGGACAAUGAUCUGCAGAUACCACGGAGAAAGAAGUGAAGGGUAAGAGCCCACCCCCGUUGUGAGAUGGAAAGCACCAAGAGCCGUGAGACCACAAGCGUUGUCGAUGCCAGCCUAUGGCGAUGCCGUCGAUCUGGGAGUGGAGCAGCCGUCACCAUCAGUGAGAUAAGUGUCUGGUUUGGGGAGGACUCCGGUAACGGCCCACCUGCCUCCAGGCUGAGACUUGUCAUUAGCUGGGGCUCGGUUUGUAGGAAAAGAUUCCUGACCUGCUGUGGUUACGAGGGAGACAAGGUCCCCAUUUUCAGGGGCAGGUCUUUUCUCUGUCCACAAACAGUGUGUCCUACGCAGCAGAAGGUUGGAUCGAGGAGGAUGACUCCAGCUGUUGAGUUUCUUGACUCCAUCCCACAUUU